rnacentral:rRNA from 1 species
AUUGAACGCUGGCGGCAGGCCUAACACAUGCAAGUCGAGCGGAGCGGCGGCCGGGUGAGUAAUGCCUAGGUAUCUGCCUGGGAGUGGGGGAGAAGGGCAGGAAAUGGGCACUAAACCCGCAUCCUCUUAGACGAGCCUAGGUCGGAUUGGCUAGUUGUUGGGGUAAGGGCCUACCAUGGCGAAGAUCCCUAACUGGUCUGAGAGGAUGAGCAGUCACACGAGAACUGAGACACGGUCCAGACUCCUACGGGAGGCAUCAGUGGGGAAUAUUGGACAAUGGGCGAAAGCCUGAUCCAGCCAUGCCGCGUGUGUGAAGAAGGUCUUCGGAUUGUAAAGCACUUUAAGUUGGGAGGCGUGACCAACAGAAUAAGCACCGGCUAACUUCGUGCCAGCAGCCGCGGUAAUAC